AGUCUCUAUCUUGAGGCAAUAUAGAGAAGCACAGUUGAUCCUUAUUAAACCAAGCGUUGCAACCGACCUCAUACUUUUCCGGAAAUCCAGUUAUGGUUGCGAUUUGUUUCCGGUUCUAUCUCAUUUGAAAAUUGACGAAAGUAAUGUGAAACACUCCAGACAAAAUGAGGAAGACUCCAGACAAAAUGAAAGAUGGAGAUGAUUCUGGAUUAGAAACAAACAGUAUUCAAAAGGGAUUCACUUUGGGAUUACACUUUUGCCUCUGGGUAUAAAACCGACAUCUCCAGCUGCUUUUCAGUUCGACAAGCCUCCACCAAGGUCAACCUCUACUGUUAGGCGAUAUCAGGCUUAUUCAUUACAAUCAACAUCACCGCAAACUGGGCAAACGAAGAGCGGAGUUUUGCAGGCGAUGGAAGUCUGGCUUUAUAUAUAGAGAUUAAAGCCAAAGCAGCCACCGAGGCCUCUCCAUUUUCAUUGCUUCAGUCUCUCCAAACUAAAAACUCCUUCUCUCAGUUGCAAGGGUGGUACAACAAAUUACAAAGAAAUGACGUUUUGGCAGAGUCUGAGGAAAGUUCAGACUUCUCAGACAUGAGGCAAAAUGUUGGUUGCAUAGCACAUAUCUGUUCAAAUCUGGCAACUGUCGUAUCUCAAGAACAAAUAAGAUCGAUCGACUUUGGUCCAAUCUUGAAUCUCUGAUUGCUAGCCGAGUUCAAAUCUUCUUCAUUUGCUUCUGAGAUUAACAUCGGCUCAAACCCAGACUCCAUUACAGAUUUAUUAGUUGAGCUUUUUGUUUUGCUAUUGCAUCUUCCUCAGGCGACAAAAUUAGAGCUCAUUGGAUGUCUACACGAUAUGCCGUUGCAAUACACCGAGCCAAGGAUGCAGAAUGGUAUCAGGAUCCCACUGAACAACUAUCCUGGCAGGAAGUCAAAUGGCUUCAGUUAUAAGAGAUGGAGACUCUAUUUCCGUUCAACUUCACCUACCAUGGCCAGGCUUUGCCAUGGUCCACAAAGCCCAACAUGAGAUUUCAGCAACAUUUGAUGCAGCUGCUCAAAUAAGUUUCCAAACGAGCUGUUUCCUGCCGCCGAGGAUGCAAGUUAAAAUGCAGUAGUAAGUUUGGCCAACCGCUUUUCACAGAAACACAUUGGCCAAAUCUAACCAUUUUUACCUAGAGUUGGUUAGGUUCUCCUAAUUGCAAAAUUGUAAAUACACAUCUGGUCAACAUACCAGAUUUUGGAAUCUAUAAAAGAACUCUUUAGCUAUAUAACGCAUCAAUGUUUGCAACCGCUGUCUUAAAAUGCCUCAACAAUAUACC